UAAAUUGUAUUUAUUUCAAUUACAAAGUUCGUCAUGAAGAGCAUAAUUUUCGAAUCUUUGGGAUUAGAAAUGGGUUCGCUGUGUUAUUUAUACCAUUUUCAGAAAAUCCGUUAGUUUGUGUCUGAGAUUAAAUCGAAAUUAGAUGAUGUGCUUUGGGCCAUGUUUUGGUCAGGACUUUAGUAAGGCAUUUAAUGAAGAGAAUCCAGCAUAUGUUGCUGGGUAUAGCGCGCUAACAUAAUCUGGUGUUGAAAUUAUUUUCUCCGCGACAAACUUUGAUAUGUUAUUUGUUUUACUCUGAAGAUGGGCAUAAACUAUGGUGAUUUGUUUUAAAUUGUUUUCAUUCAAUAUCCCAUUUUACCACUCUCGGAUUCAUUAGUAAUUUUCUUAGAAUAUAAUAAAGGUAGCCUUUAUAUAUGUACUGUUUUUAUGAAACAAUUGCAGUUGUGGAUGUGUAAAUAGCUUGAUGAAGCUAUCCAGAGUAUGUUCAUAGGAAAGGCAGCUUCCAGGAUCCAAAAUUCAAUAUUGAACAAGUCGCAAAUGGAGAUAAUUAUUUCACGGUGAUUUCGACUCUCACCAUUAAAUUUAUUAAGAUAAUUGCUUUAAUUAUUUUAUUAAUUGUCUGUUUAUAAAGGUCUCAUUACCAAAAUGGUUGUGCACAUAUAUAUUCACUUCUGAUUUUCACAACGUCAUAUAUUUUUGUUUUGUAGGAUUUCAUGGCUGAUAAUGGAUGGCAUGAUCUCUCCUGCAAAGACCCUACCAAGAGAAGUAGAUUGAGAUUUGGAAACAUACCAUAUUUAAUAGAAGUUGAUAACGAUCUCAAUGCACAACUCUCAAGUAACAAGGUCAACAGAGUGGUUAAAAAGGAGGAAAUUGCCUGAGUUUCUGCAUCUAUGAGAGAAUUGAAAAAGAUACAUUUCGUUAAAUAUCAAAUUUUCUAUUUUAUUUCUAGCCACAAAUCCUUUAACGAUACUUGGACUUGUCCAAAGUUGCCCGUUUCACAUGGUGUCGGCAAUAGUUAGUGACGUCUUUUUU